AGUACGUGAAACUGCUUAGAGGUUAAGCCCGAUGAACCUGAAUAUCCGUUAUGGAAAAUUCAUCACUAAUACUAUUAUAUUUAUCAUAUUAUAGAAAUAGUGUGCAAUUUUUCCAUAUAAGGACAUUGUAAUCUGUUAAUGUAAUAAAUAUUUAUCAUAAGAUCUUUUACUUAAGUUUAUUCAAAUUAGUUAUUUUCGGAUUUCUAACAUAGAAUAAAUGUUUAAGAUUUGAUAAAUCAUUGACAGAUUUCAUUAUAUAUAGUGCUUAAAUUUUUCGAAAUUUUACAAUGCUGAAUAAAUCUAUUGAUUUAUUUAUAUUGUAUGCGCUUAUAUGAUUAACAAUGCGAUAGAUUCAGGAUACCUUCGGGACCCGUCUUGAAACACGGACCAAGGAGUCUAACAUAUGUGCAAGUCAUUGGGUAUUUUUAAUAAAACCCAAUGGCAUAAUUAACUUAACUGUUUUAAAUGGGAUUAGUUUAUAUUUUAUUAUGAAAUAUAAAUUCAAUCCCGGGGCGUUCUAUACAGUUAUGCAUAAUGAUAUUUAUAUUAUUUAUGCCUCUAACUAGAGC
rnacentral:rRNA from 1 species